rnacentral:lncRNA from 1 species
UCUCUCUUAUCAUAAGUAAUAGGAUAAUUAUAUUUGGUAUAUGCGUACCUUGCAAGGUCCUCAUGCCCGUCAGACAGUUUUCACUUGACCUCGACCUCAUUUCAUGGAUCAGUGAACAAGGUUAAGUUUUGGUGGUCAAGUCCAUAUCUCAGAUACUAUAAGCAAUAGGUCUAGUAUAUUCGGUGUAUGGAAGGACUGUAAGGUGUACAUGUCCAACUGGCAGGUGUCAUCUGACCUUGACCUCAUUUUCAUGGUUCAGUGGUUAUAGUUAAGUUUUUGUGUUUUGGUCUGUUUUUCUCAUACUUUAUGCAAUAGAUCUACUAUAUUUGUUUUAUGGAAUGAUUGUAAGAUGUACAUGUCUAGCGGGCAGAUGUCAUCUGACCUUGAGCUCAUUUUCAUGGUUGAGUGGUCAAAGUUAAGUUUUUGAGUUUUGGUCUUUUUAUCUAAUACUAUAUGCCAUAGGUCAACUAUAUUUGGUGUAUGGAAAUAUUUUAUGAUCUAUAUGUCAGUCCCGCAGGUUUUAUUUGACCUCGACC